rnacentral:rRNA from 1 species
UACAGAGGUCUCAAGCGUUGUUCGGAUUCAUUGGGCGUAAAGGGUGCGUAGGUGGCGCCGUAAGUCGGGUGUGAAAUUUCGGAGCUUAACUCCGAAACUGCAUUCGAUACUGCGGUGCUUGAGGACUGGAGAGGAGACUGGAAUUCAUGGUGUAGCAGUGAAAUGCGUAGAGAUCGGGAGGAACAUCAGUUGCGAAGGCGGCUCUCUGGACCAGCACUGACACUGAGGCACGAAAGCGUGGGGAGCAAACAGG